rnacentral:lncRNA from 1 species
AUGGGCCUUCUGAAAAGACAGAGGUUAUAUUCUCUAUCCAAUUUCCUAGACAACAAAAAGGAGAAAACCACUUUAAUGCACAGUUAUUCAGUAAAGUGGAGAUUGAAUUUACAAGGUUUGACUCUUAUGCCUUUAUUUCAAGAUGACACAGGCCUUGUUUUGCCUUCACUUGUACUAUGAAGGCCACCCGCAGCCACACCAGAA